rnacentral:rRNA from 1 species
UACGUAGGGGGCAAGCGUUGUCCGGAAUCAUUGGGCGUAAAGAGCGUGUAGGCGGCCCGGUAAGUCCGCUGUGAAAGUCGGGGGCUCAACCCUCGAAUGCCGGUGGAUACUGUCGGGCUAGAGUGCGGAAGAGGCGAGUGGAAUUCCCGGUGUAGCGGUGAAAUGCGCAGAUAUCGGGAGGAACACCAAUGGCGAAGGCAGCUCGCUGGGACGGUACUGACGCUGAGACGCGAAAGCGUGGGGAGCAAACAGG